GACGAACGCUGGCGGCGCGCCUAACACAUGCAAGUCGAACGGAGCUGAGAGAAGCUUGCUUUUCUUAGCUUAGUGGCGAACGGGUGAGUAACGCGUGAGUAACCUGCCCUGGAGUGGGGGACAACAGUUGGAAACGACUGCUAAUACCGCAUAAGCCCACGAUCCGGCAUCGGAUUGAGGGAAAAGGAUUUAUUCGCUUCAGGAUGGACUCGCGUCCAAUUAGCUAGUUGGUGAGGUAACGGCCCACCAAGGCGACGAUUGGUAGCCGGACUGAGAGGUUGAACGGCCACAUUGGGAGUGAGACACGGCCCAGAAUCCUACGGGAGGGAGCAGUGGGGGAUAUUGCACAAUGGGGGAAACCCUGAUGCAGCGACGCCGCGUGGAGGAAGAAGGUUUUCGGAUUGUAAACUCCUGUCGUUAGGGACGAUAAUGACGGUACCUAACAAGAAAGCACCGGCUAACUACGUG
rnacentral:rRNA from 1 species